AAGAAAGUGGCAGAGUGGUGAUGUGGUUAGCUUGAAACUAACAUAUGGGGGUUCAAUUCCUUCCUUUCUUG
rnacentral:tRNA from 2 species